rnacentral:rRNA from 1 species
GUGGAGGCAGCAGUGGGGAAUUUUGCGCAAUGGGCGAAAGCCUGACGCAGCAACGCCGCGUGGAGGAUGAAGGUUCUCUGAAUCGUAAACUCCUGUCGGCCGGGAAGAAUGCACGGGAUGCUAAUCAGUUCCGUGUUGACUGUACCGGCAAAGGAAGCCCCGGCUAACUCCGUGCCAGCAGCCGCGGUAAUACGGAGGGGGCAAGCGUUACUCGGAAUUAUUGGGCGUAAAGGGCGCGUAGGCGGUCGUGUGCGUCGGAGGUGAAAUCCCCGGGCUUAACCCGGGAGCUGCCUCCGAUACGGCAUGGCUUGAGUCCGGGAGAGGGGAGCAGAAUUCCCAGUGUAGCGGUGAAAUGCGUAGAUAUUGGGAGGAAUACCAGUGGCGAAGGCGGCUCCCUGGACCGGUACUGACGCUGAGGCGCGAAAGCGUGGGUAGCAAACAGGAUUAGAUACCCCGGU